rnacentral:rRNA from 1 species
GAUCAUGGCUCAGGAUGAACGCUGGCGGCGUGCUUAACACAUGCAAGUCGAACGAAGCACAUUAAUUAGAGAUCUUCGGAUCAAAGAGAGAUGUGACUUAGUGGCGGACGGGUGAGUAACGCGUGGGUAACCUGCCUUAUACAGGGGGAUAACAGUUAGAAAUGGCUGCUAAUACCGCAUAACCCCGCUAGUACCGCAUGGUACGGACGGAAAAGAUGUAUCGGUAUAAGAUGGACCCGCG